UGACCACCCCCGGGCAAAGACCAGCAGAUCGCCUGUUAGAGACGGGCCCAGGACUUUGUGCGGGGUGCCCA
ensembl:miRNA